GCCAAGCACAGUAGUUGUGCCAGAGACGGCCAGUUAAAAAUGGUCUAUACCCUGUACAAUAAGGUAUCAGGGAAACGUGUAAAUAAGGAAUCUCCCCCAGUAAUACCUCAGAGAGUAUAUCCCGAGUGAGGAUACAGUGACACAGAUCCAGCAGACCAAUUAUAGGAGUCGUAACAGUGGAAGCCCAUUUAAACGGGCAAUACCAUGCCCA